ensembl:lncRNA LOC108352818 uncharacterized LOC108352818
GUUACUGGAUGUGUGGCCUGGGCAAGUUGCUUCCCCUCUUUCAGCUUCAGAGAGACUCAGUAUCUGUGGAACAGAAAAGGAAAAAGGCUUUGGACCCCUUACAAAGAAAUAUGUAUCAGAUAUGAUAGGGCAAGGCCUGCUGAAGAUCUUGACUUCAGACAGGAAAGAAAAAUUCAAGAAAACCAAACAGGACAGGUUUGCAACAUCUACUUUCAACAUUUGAAGCAGUUAUCUCUCAUAGUAGAAAUAUUUCUUUCCAAUCGCAAAGCAGAGUGCAAGGAAAAGCAAUUCUAUUCCAGGGAUGAGAUUUUCAAGUACAAGUGUGGUUCAAUCCAUCAGUAUUUCCCUGAAACCGAGCCUUUCAGGCUGCUGAAGUAGACAAAUCUGAUGUGUGGUUGGUACUCGGUUCCACCUCUUGCAUGAAAUAUGUCUGGCAUAGAAGGAGACUGGAAACCUCUAAAAACCUGUCUUCCUCCAUUGUCACCUUAGCAAUGCUCACUAAAUGCAAAGCCUAGUGGGUCUAUUUGAUUUGGACAAAAAGAAGAAUAUGAAGGCACUGUUCAAACAAUAUACAUCUACCUCAACAACCAAGCCUUAUCAUCUGGUGAUUAUGAGAGAGAAAAUAUGCCAAGAAGUCUAGACACUGAGAGCUCAGCAUAUUCACACACAGAGACAGUUACACUUUUCAGGGUACAUUAGCCAUUAUGAGUUUUAGGUUUCUUUCUGUGGCCAGAUAUCAAAUUAAUGUGCAAUUUUUCUAUUCUAAAGGACAUUUGAUAUUAAAAGAAAUAAGCCUGGCUGAUUCAGAACAGAACAUUUACAGCUCAAAACAGAAACGAUAAAGUAAAGAUCAUUUGUUUCAUUGCUGUGUUUUUAGCACAUCAUGUAAUAAAAUUAUCAACGAAAA